ACAGCCUGCACACGAUCUCCCAUUGAAAGCUCUCCAUAGCAGCACAGCCCACAUCCCAGGAAUCUCCUAUCCUACAGACAUAAACCAUCUAUACCACAAUGGUGAAGUUCUUAACCAAUAUCUUACCUGAGCAUGCCAUAAAUUUGGCAGGAUGACAAAAAGCUACUUUAAAGAUAAUAGGACGGAGCCAAACACAGCCAGUGGGUUUAUAUCACAAUCGGAGCUGCCAGGCUCAGCGGACAGAAUGAGUGACUGAGGAAAAUGUGUCAAUCGCGGCUUUGGAUACUUUCAGAUAAAUUUGAUUUUCAUGCCAGAAAUGCAGCACAUACUGUAAAUGACAAGAUUCCUGUUCGCUGUUGGAGAUGAUUAUUAUUACUAAGCAGCAGUUGUGUUUUGUGUGGCAGGAGUAAAUAAAAACCUUUCUGCCAUGACCAAACAAAGGAAAUGGAGCAGGAUUUGAAAGAAGUCCAAGUUUGCUGGGUGAGAGAUUCUUUUUAAUGAGUGUAAUCUUUCUAUUGGGGUUUACAUCACAAUUUAAUCCAAACCCCUAACAGUAAAAAGACAUCUGCUGUUUAAGCUGUUCUGUAAAUACUUUUAAUGGUUGGAAGCCAUCUGAAGGGAGUUUUUAAGAAGGGAUGGUAGCUUAGCUGAAAAUAAAAUCGACUCCAGUGCAAAUCUAUGGAUAAAUCACUGUAUUAUUUGUUAAAAUGUAGUCGCUUGAAACAACUAAGACCUUUCUUCUAAAAUUUACUAUGUGGUAAACUUUUUGCGAAGACUGAUUUAUAAGUGGAAAAAUAAAAGCAUGAAAAGAUGUAGUCUUGCAGAUGACACCGGGGAAGUAAAUAAGAUG